UCAAGAGGAAAGGCCCAUUGAGGAAG
rnacentral:piRNA from 1 species